ACCGUUUUGCAUACAAGAGGAUAAAAACCAUUUAGGGAUAUUCCCCUUUUCAGAUACACAGGCAGCUACUGCAAUCACCAAUCUCCCGAACUGCAACCACACGAAUUCACCAAUCUCCCGAACUGCAAACACAUGACUUCACCAAUCUCCCGAACUGCAAACAUAUGAAAACUCCAACUCCCGAACAGGAAACACACGAAUGCUGUAAACAGCCGAACAGGAAAAACCAUCCGAACAGUUUACACUCCUGGCAGUUGCACUGUAACAGCAUACAAUCCAAUUCCCCCCAAGAACGAGACAACACUUCG